UUUCCGUAGGUGAACCUGCGGAAGGAUCAUUAAAGAGAAUAUGCCCUUCGGGGUAGAUCUCCCACCCUUUGUUUAUAUUACCUUUGUUGCUUUGGCAGGCCCGUCUUCGGACCACCGGCUACGGCUGGUCAGUGCUUGCCAAAGGACCCAAAACUCUUAUUAUUAAUGUCGUCUGAGUACUAUAUAAUAGUUAAAACUUUCAACAACGGAUCUCUUGGUUCUG
rnacentral:misc_RNA from 1 species